CGAUGACGUCGCGAGCAAGGAGGAGAGGAGGAGUACAGCUCCCCGCCCGGCGCUGGAGAAAGGUAAGUGUUUAACCCCUUCCUCUUUCCAGAGCCCGGCGGGAGGGGGUCCCUGAGGGUGGGGGCACCCUCAGGGCACUAUAGUGCCAGGAAAACGAGUAUGUUUUCCUGGCACUAUAGUGGUCCUUUAAGUUUUUUUUCCC